rnacentral:rRNA from 1 species
UACGUAGGUGGCAAGCGUUGUCCGGAUUCACUGGGCGUAAAGCGCGCGCAGGCGGUCUUCUACGUCUGGGGUGAAAACCCGGGGCUCAACCCCGGGACUGCCUUGGAUACGGGGGGACUUGAGGAUCGGAGAGGCAAGGGGAAUUCCACGUGUAGCGGUGAAAUGCGUAGAGAUGUGGAGGAACACCUGUGGCGAAGGCGCCUUGCUGGCCGAUUUCUGACGCUGAGGCGCGAAAGCGUGGGGAGCAAACAGG